CCGGGGCUUAGUGCCGGAGCUAACGCAAUAAGCGCUCCGCCUGGGGAGUACGACCGCAAGGUUGAAACUCAAAGGAAUUGACGGGGGCCCGCACAAGCGGUGGAGCAUGUGGUUUAAUUCGAAGCAACGCGAAGAACCUUACCAGGUCUUGACAUCCCGAUGCUAUUCUUAGAGAUAGGAAGUUACUUCGGUACAUCGGAGACAGGUGGUGCAUGGUUGUCGUCAGCUCGUGUCGUGAGAUGUUGGGUUAAGUCCCGCAACGAGCGCAACCCUUAUUGUUAGUUGCCAUCAUUAAGUUGGGCACUCUAGCGAGACUGCCGGUAAUAAACCGGAGGAAGGUGGGGAUGACGUCAAAUCAUCAUGCCCCUUAUGACCUGGGCUACACACGUGCUACAAUGGUCGGUACAACGAGUUGCGAGCCGGUGACGGCAAGCUAAUCUCUGAAAGCCGAUCUCAGUUCGGAUUGGAGGCUGCAACUCGCCUCCAUGAAGUCGGAAUCGCUAGUAAUCGCGGAUCAGCACGCCGCGGUGAAUACGUUCCCGGGCCUUGUACACACCGCCCGUCACACCACGAGAGUUUGUAACACCCGAAGUCGGUGAGGUAACCUUUUAGGGGCCAGCC
rnacentral:rRNA from 1 species